rnacentral:lncRNA from 10 species
CUGCCUCUUUCAGUUACAUCUCUUGGACAGGCAUUGUUCUAGUUAUGUUUUUGGGUGUGUGUGAACGGAGUGUCUGUAUGUUGCAGGGAGGCAGGAAUCUAGUUGUCAGUGAGUAGCACUUGCUAUAUUUGCUUCCAUCCACUCUUCCACCCAUCUGUCCCAUCAUUCUUUCAUCAGUGACUCAGUGUCUACCCAGCGCCUGGUCAUCGGCAUUCCUGCCAAGUGGAUCUCAGGACAAAGAAAGGACAUGACUGCCUGAAGAGGGCCCAGACAUGCAGUGGGGCAGGUGCUGGCAUCUGAGAAAGUCCUAGGAGAGAACCUCCUCCAGUGUGUGAAGAGCUUCCCAAGCACCAGGUCCACUGACUGUGGCGUCAAAGACAGUGAAAAGCUGGCCUUGGGGUGAUGCCAUCCAGGAAGGCAUGCCAGAUCAGAUGCCCAGCUGACACUUCUGCCAGCCACCAGUCCCUGUCACUGUGCAUCUUUGCCAAGCUAAUGUGCUCCCUGGAGGAUGGGACCAGCACAGAGUCAGGUAGGGCCUGGGGCUGGGUGUGUGACCUGUGUGUAGUGAUGGAGACUAAUUCAAAGCAGGGUGGGAGUGAGACAGAAGUGUGGUACAAAUAGCAUGGAGAAUGGGCUCAAGGUGCAGGAAGGGGCAAGGAUGAAAGCUGAGUUACAGGCCAGCUCUGCCACUGACAAGCUGUGAUUUCCCUCACCCCAAAAUGACAGUAAUGACACUUCACCUCCCUGAAGGCAGGAGCCAGGUUAAAGGGGCAUGUUGGAGUGAUCUUAAAUGACAGCUGUGACUGUGACAGGAACCCCCUGUGUUUAUGAUUUGAGAUUUUAUGUAACUGCACUUGAAAUAUUCAUGUGUGUGGAUUUUGUAUAUGCAUGGGUAGUUGCAUGUUGUCUCCAGUGCAUGUACAUAAUCUGUGUCAUGUAUUACAUGUGUUCUAUAUGGGGGCAAGAACAGGUUACACGUUAUAUGUGAUAUACUAAUGUAUGAGUUACAUAUUGUACAGUUUGGGUGUUACAGUUUUUGGGUUUAUGGGCUACAUGUCAGUAUUAUGGCUGCUGUAUUGUUAUAAUUUAUCUGUUGUAUAUUGUAUUUAACUUGCAUAUGAACUCCAGACUCAUAUAUCCAGCUGCCUUCUCAAUAUCUCUACUUGGAUACCUAACCAGUUUUCUUAAACAUAACAUGUCCAAAACAGCCUAAGAUUCCUCCAAACCUG